rnacentral:rRNA from 1 species
GAUGAACGCUGGCGGCGUGCUUAACACAUGCAAGUCGAACGGAAAGGCUCCUGCUUGCAGGGGUACUCGAGUGGCGAACGGGUGAGUAACACGUGGGUGAUCUUCCCUGCGCUUCGGGAUAAGCCUGGGAAACUGGGUCUAAUACCGGAUAGGACGAUGGUUUGGAUGCCAUUGUGGAAAGUUUUGCGGUGUGGGAUGAGCUCGCGGCCUAUCAGCUUGUUGGUGGGGUUAUGGCCUACCAAGGCGUCGACGGGUAGCCGGCCUGGGAGGGUGUACGGCCACAGUGGGCCAGGGGUACGGCCCAGGGUCAAACGGGGGGCAGGGGUGGAGACUAGUGCACAAUGGGCGCAAGCCUGAUGCAGCGACGCCGGGUGGGGGAUGACGGCUUUCGGGUAGUAAACUCCUGGCGCUAGGGACGAAGCGGAAGUGACGGACCCGGGAGAAGAAACCCGGGUUAACUACGU